GUGCAGUGGCGGCGUGCUAUACAUGCAGUCGAGCGAAUCGAUGGGAGCUUGCUCCCUGAGAUUAGCGGCGGACGGGUGAGUAACACGUGGGCAACCUGCCUAUAAGACUGGGAUAACUUCGGGAAACCGGAGCUAAUACCGGAUACGUUCUUUUCUCGCAUGAGAGAAGAUGGAAAGACGGUUUACGCUGUCACUUAUAGAUGGGCCCGCGGCGCAUUAGCUAGUUGGUGAGGUAAUGGCUCACCAAGGCGACGAUGCGUAGCCGACCUGAGAGGGUGAUCGGCCACACUGGGACUGAGACACGGCCCAGACUCCUACGGGAGGCAGCAGUAGGGAAUCUUCCGCAAUGGACGAAAGUCUGACGGAGCAACGCCGCGUGAACGAAGAAGGCCUUCGGGUCGUAAAGUUCUGUUGUUAGGGAAGAACAAGUACCAGAGUAACUGCUGGUACCUUGACGGUACCUAACCAGAAAGCCACGGCUAACUACGUGCCAGCAGCCGCGGUAAUACGUAGGUGGCAAGCGUUGUCCGGAAUUAUUGGGCGUAAAGCGCGCGCAGGUGGUUCCUUAAGUCUGAUGUGAAAGCCCACGGCUCAACCGUGGAGGGUCAUUGGAAACUGGGGAACUUGAGUGCAGAAGAGGAAAGUGGAAUUCCAAGUGUAGCGGUGAAAUGCGUAGAGAUUUGGAGGAACACCAGUGGCGAAGGCGACUUUCUGGUCUGUAACUGACACUGAGGCGCGAAAGCGUGGGGAGCAAACAGGAUUAGAUACCCUGGUAGUCCACGCCGUAAACGAUGAGUGCUAAGUGUUAGAGGGUUUCCGCCCUUUAGUGCUGCAGCUAACGCAUUAAGCACUCCGCCUGGGGAGUACGGCCGCAAGGCUGAAACUCAAAGGAAUUGACGGGGGCCCGCACAAGCGGUGGAGCAUGUGGGUUUAAUUCGAAGCAACGCGAAGAACCCUUACCAGGUCUUGACAUCCUCUGACAACCCUAGAGAUAGGGCUUUCCCCUUUCGGGGGACAGAGUGACAGGUGUGCAUGAUGUCGUCAGCUCGUGUCGUGAGAUGUGGGGUAGUCCCGCACGAGCGCAACCCUUGAUCUUAGUUGCCAGCAUUCAGUUGGGCACCUUCUAAAGUGACU
rnacentral:rRNA from 1 species